rnacentral:rRNA from 1 species
AUUGAACGCUGGCGGCAGGCCUAACACAUGCAAGUCGAACGGUAACAGGAAGCAGCUUGCUGCUUUGCUGACGAGUGGCGGACGGGUGAGUAAUGUCUGGGAAACUGCCUGAUGGAGGGGGAUAACUACUGGAAACGGUAGCUAAUACCGCAUAACGUCGCAAGACCAAAGAGGGGGACCUUAGGGCCUCUUGCCAUCGGAUGUGCCCAGAUGGGAUUAGCUAGUAGGUGGGGUAACGGCUCACCUAGGCGACGAUCCCUAGCUGGUCUGAGAGGAUGACCAGCCACACUGGAACUGAGACACGGUCCAGACUCCUACGGGAGGCAGCAGUGGGGAAUAUUGCACAAUGGGCGCAAGCCUGAUGCAGCCAUGCCGCGUGUAUGAAGAAGGCCUUCGGGCUGUAAAGUACUUUCAGCGGGGAGGAAGGGAGUAAAGUUAAUACCUUUGCUCAUUGACGUUACCCGCAGAAGAAGCACCGGCUAACUCCGUG